rnacentral:tRNA from 1 species
CAAAGGAUAGUUUAAUUAUAGGAUUCCGGUUUUGGGGACCGGGGAUGAA